rnacentral:rRNA from 1 species
UAUUGAAUGACAUUUAAUUACUGGUUUUUUAACAUAUAUUAAAAGAAACAUCUAUUUAAUUAGUAUUGGCGAUUGAAAAUUUUUAUGUAGUGUAUUACGUGAGUUGUAUAGUAGUUCUUUGCGAAGUUUAUGUUAAAUUUAGUACCUUUUGUAUCAUGGUCUUUUAAGAUUUUACUUUUAAAGGAGAGUGUCCCGAAACAAAGUGAGUUAUCUUUAAACUAGUAUUAGUGUUGUAAAACUAAUAGUAGAUUUCUAGAUGGGAGUGAAAUGCUUGUCGCACUUUGUGAUAGCUGGUUUACUGAGAAAUAUAUAUUAGUAUUGGCUUAUUUUAGGACUAAGUUAAUAUUUUAAAUGGGUUAGUUUUAAAUAGGACUCAUUUAUAGGGGGAUUAGCUCUUGUAGUUGGUAUUAUAAAUAUUGUUAAUGUAUAUAUUUAAAAUAGGCUUAAGAUUAGCUAUUUUGUGGAGUUUGUUAAAAAUUAUUUUAAUGUGAUUUUUAAUUAUUAUAUAAUAUUUUAAUGUAAUAUCGGUAUUAUUAAUAUUUUUAUUAAUAUUUGAUUUAAUUCUGGAAGAAUGAGUAGUUGUUGUAUAUAAAUUAUUUAUUUAUUUAAAUGAAUAAGUAUUUUAGUUAUGUGGUUAUUUAGAAAUCCUAUAAAGGAACUUGGCAAAUUUUAGCUUCGCCUGUUUAUCAAAAACAUGGUUCUCUGCGAGUUGAUAAUGCGGAUAGAGAAUCUGACCUGCCCAGUGAUUUAACAUUAAACGGCCGCGGUACCUUGACCGUGCAAAGGUAGCAUAAUCAUUCGCUUUUUAAUUGAAGGCUAGUAUGAAUGGUUUGACGUGGGCUAUGCUGUCUCUAUAGGAUUUAUUUGAAAUUAAUUUUUAGGUGAAAAAGCCUAAAUUUAGUUAUGGGACGAGAAGACCCCGUUGAGCUUAAAUUAUUUUUUGUAAAUUUUUGACUAUUUAUUGAUUAGUAAUUUAUAGAUGUGUUUUUAAUAGGGGAAGAUAGGGGAAUAGUUAAAAUUUCCCUUGUUAAUUUAAUUAUUUACUGUUUGUUGGCGGAUAGAUAUAGUAAUAUUGAUCCACGUAUUAUGUGAUUAAGGGACAAAGUUACCACGGGGAUAACAGCGUAAUUUCUUCUGGAGAGUUCUAAUUGAAGGGAGGGUUUGCGACCUCGAUGUUGGACUAGGACAUCCUGGAGGUGUAGAAGUUUCUAAGGGUUGGUCUGUUCGACCAUUAAAGUCCUACAUGAUCUGAGUUCAGACCGGCGUAAGCCAGGUUGGUUUCUAUCUUUAAUUUAUGAAAUGUGCAUCUAGUUAGUACGAAAGGAUCACUACGGUGUGAAUACUUCAUACUUAUAAUGAUUUAUAAAUGUAUGU